rnacentral:rRNA from 1 species
UACGUAGGGUGCAAGCGUUGUCCGGAAUUAUUGGGCGUAAAGAGCUCGUAGGCGGUUUGUCGCGUCUGCUGUGAAAACUCGGGGCUUAACCCCGGGCCUGCAGUGGGGUACGGGCAGACUAGAGUGCGGUAGGGGAGACUGGAAUUCCUGGUGUAGCGGUGAAAUGCGCAGAUAUCAGGAGGAACACCGGUGGCGAAGGCGGGUCUCUGGGCCGUAACUGACGCUGAGGAGCGAAAGCGUGGGGAGCAAACGGG